rnacentral:rRNA from 1 species
UGAGUAACACGUAUCCAACCUGCCGUCUACUCUUGACAGCCUUCUGAAAGGAAGAUUAAUACAAGAUGGCAUCAUGAGUCCGCAUGUUCACAUGAUUAAAGGUAUUCCGGUAGACGAUGGGGAUGCGUUCCAUUAGAUAGUAGGCGGGGUAACGGCCCACCUAGUCUUCGAUGGAUAGGGGUUCUGAGAGGAAGGUCCCCCACAUUGGAACUGAGACGCGGUCCAA